GGAGGAGGCUGGCCACACAGGGUUAUCCUCUGACCUCACACAUGCCUUCCUGCUCAUGCACACACACACAAUUGAAAUGCUAAACUCAGCCUUUCUCCUUCCCCCAAAACCCAUACAAAACAGGGAUGUUUUUAAAAACUGGCACAAGCUGCAAGAUUCUUGCUGCUUUCCCUCCGCUUGUGCUCUAUUUUCCCCAAGUAAAUAACACCAUAUGUGCACAGCUAUUUUGGAAAACAUGAAUCACUGGAGAGAAAGGGAGGGGGGUGGGCAAGCAAGCCCAUGAGUGCACAGUGACUGUGGUCCCUCAGCACAGGAAGCUGAGGCAGGAGGAUUACCAGUUUGACCCUGAGAGGUAGGGAGGAGGAUGGGAACUGAGAGGGACAGGCCUCUCUGUGGGUUCUUCUGCAGACAGCUCAAGGCUGAGUCGAGGGCAGUGAUGCUCAGAUUAGUGCUGGCAGCUGACACUGUCUGUUGGGAGCUCCUGCCUGUCAGACCCAUGGGUUUCAUUCAGGAACCAAAAAAGGAAGAAAGAAAGAA
rnacentral:lncRNA from 1 species